rnacentral:rRNA from 1 species
CCUACGGGUGGCAGCAGUCGAGAAUCAUUCACAAUGGGGGAAACACUGAUGGAGCGACGCCGCGUGGGGGAAUGAAGUUCUUCGUAUCGUAAAACCCUGUUGUUAGAGAAGAAAGUGCGUGAGAGUAACUGUUCACGUUUCGACUGUAUCUAACGAGACAGCCACGUCUAACUACGUGCCAGCAGCCGCGGUAAUACGGAGGUGGCAAGCGUUAUCCGGAUUUAUUGGGCGUAAGGGGGACGCAGGCGGUCUUUUAAGUCUGAAGUGAAAGCCUUCGGCUUAACCGGAGUAGUGCAUUUGAAACUGGGAGACUUGAGUGCAGAAGAGGAGAGUGGAACUCCAUGUGUAGCGGUGAAAUGCGUAGAUAUAGGGAAGAACACCAGUGGCGAAAGCGGCUCGCUGGUCUGUAACUGACGCUGAGGUUCGAAAGCGUGGGUAGCAAACAGGAUUAGAUACCCCUGUAGUC